UCCCUCCCCAACCUUUCCCUUCCCCUUCUCUAUCUCCAACCCGUUCCCUUUCUCUUCUUCAACCCUUUUUCUUUCCUUUAUGCUUCUCCAAUUUAAAGCCCUUUUUUUUUCCUUCCUCUUCUGCUUCCUCAAUCAAUCUGAGAUCAUUUUUGUUUCCCUUCUCCUUUCUAAUAUGAUGUCUUCCCCCUUUCCAACCAUACUCUCACACUCAAUAGAAUUCUCUCCUCAACCUUCAUUAUCGCCGCCUCUCGCCGACCUCUGUUUCGUUGUCGCCGCCGCUCGCCAGCCUCCAUCUCCGUUCGGUCUCUCUCUUCUCUCCUCUGGCACGGUUCUCUCUUAGCCAGGCUGAUUUUUUUUCUUUAAUUUUUUUAGUUAUUCAAUCAUUGUUCUUUAAUGUUUUGGGUGACUGUUGUUGCUGAUCCUGUUUUAAUAUAACAACAAUGAUUAAUUUUAGUUAUUUUCUGUUCUGUAAUUAUUCUUUUUUUUAUUGUUGCUAUUUUUUUGCUCGUUACUGUUUAGGUUGAUUGAUGAUUGCUAUUUAAGUUGAUUGAUCUUUUCUUAUUAAUAUUAUUUUUUUUGAUAUUUUGUAUUGUUGGUUUUUAUUUUUGUGAUCUGUUGAAAAAGAAGAAGAAGAAGAACAGAGUUGAAGAAGAAGAAGAAGGAGAUUGUUAUUUUUUUAAAAUAUAAAACGACGACGUUUUCUAGGCCCUUCUUUUUUCUUUUUUCUUUUUUGUUCAAAACGACGUCGUUUCAAGGUUCUGAUAAACGGAAAAUGCUUCAGGGACUACUAUUGUAAAACCUGGUUAAUUAAUAUAUAAUUAACCCAUAAAUUUAUAUUUAAUCUAGAAAAUUAGAAAAUGAGAUUUUAUGAUUUAAUAUGAUAGAAAAAAUUAAAACGAGAAUUUUCACACUAACUUUAAAAAAUUUGACCCAAAAUUCGGCCAAAUAGAUCAAGUCGGUUGAACCGAGUCCAAAAUGGGCCCACGGUCUAACCCAACUCAGCCUAAACACAUUUAAAACAGCCAUCUCUCAUCUCUCCUUCAGCAAAACACGCUGAAGCUCAGCUAUGAAAGAGAAGAACACUCUUCCAAAAAAAACCAAGCUUGAUCUUCAAAUCCUUGUAACUUUUUAUCCGGAGCUCUGGUCGCCACACCGUUUGCGGUCACGUGAUUACGGCGUCGAAUUCUACAAAUCCCACAAGGUUGUAUAAGAGGAUCCAAUUAGCUUGAAGGAAAAGCUUAGUCUUGCCUUUUUUAUCCUUGAGUAUGGCAAGGUAUAUAUGAAUAUUGGAGCUUGAUUGAGAUUUUGGAAAGUUUGGAAGUAGAGCUAUUGCUGAAAGAUAUAUUGGUGAGGUGUUGAGGUCUUAGGAGCUAGAGGAAAAGUGAAAUUAGAAGUGUUCCGGGUUGAGCAGAGAAUCGGCCAAGGUAGCAUCCGGAGGGAUUUGACGGAGUUUUGUAGCAGAAAAGGGAGAAAGCGAAUGAUGCUGUCAAUCCUGACCUCCUUGCACUCAAAUAGAAAUAACUUAAGUUACAGAGAUCCAAUUGAUGUGAUUCUAGUGGCAUUGGAAAGCUAACUUCCAGGGCUUUCCAACAAUAUAUAAUAGUGUAUACUUCUUCUCCAGAAACUUCGGCCUCCUCCACGUUGAACUUGACCCCUGCAAAGUUCAGCGUGGAACUUGAAAGCUCCCAGGAACGCGUACUAACCAUUCUACGCUGAACUUGAGAAUUUCCAAGUUCAGUGUGGAUCCAAAGCUCCAAAGGAAGAAUUUCACCUCAUCCAUGCUGAACUUGAGGAUUUCCAAGUUCAGCGUGGACCUGAACGAAUCCAAUGAUCCCUCGUACAAGGAUGCGCAGAAAGUUUAAUGAAUUUUGAUUUAAUUUUAUUUUAUUUAUAAUUAGGAAAAGAUAUUUUUUUUUAGAAAAUAUAUUUUACAUUAAUUAGGAUUAAAUAUAAAAGGAAAAAGAAUCAGCUCUUCGGGCGCUAUCUCUUCUCUCCUACCUCAUUCUGCACUUUACAGUUUACCUGAAUCCUAAUUUUCUCUCUGAACCAUGAGCAACUAAA